rnacentral:rRNA from 1 species
UACAGAGGGUGCGAGCGUUAAUCGGAAUUACUGGGCGUAAAGCGCACGUAGUCGGCUUUGCAAGUCGGUUGUGAAAUCCCCGGGCUCAACCUGGGAACUGCAUCCGAGACUGCAUUGCUAGAGUAUGGGAGAGGAAAGCGGAAUUUCUGGUGUAGCAGUGAAAUGCGUAGAUAUCAGAAGGAACAUCAGUGGCGAAGGCGGCUUUCUGGACCAAUACUGACGCUGAGGAGCGAAAGCGUGGGGAGCGAACAGG